GAUGAAGAACGUAGUGAAAUGCGAUAAGUAAUGUGAAUUGCAGAAUUCAGUGAAUCAUCGAAUCUUUGAACGCACCUUGCGCCCUUUGGCCAUUCCGAAGGGCAUGCCUGUUUGAGUAUCAUGAACACCUCAACUCUUCAUGGUUUUCCAUGAUGAGCUUGGACUUUGGGGGUCUUGCUGGCCUGUGGGUCGGCUCCUCUCAAAUGAAUCAGCUUGCCGGUUUUUGGUGGGCAUCACAGGUGUGAUAACUAUCUACGCUUGUGGUUUUCCACCAGGGUAACCUUCAGCAGUGGAGGUUCACUGGAGCUUACAAAUGUCUCUCCUCUGUGAGGACAGCCCUUUGAAUGUUUGAUCUCAAAUCAGGUAGGACUACCCGCUGAACUUAAGCAUAUCAAUAACGGAGGA
rnacentral:misc_RNA from 1 species